rnacentral:snoRNA from 1 species
AAACUAGGAGUGUCCCUGAAGGUAUUUUUUUCAGAUACUUAGAAAAAGCUGGCAAUAGAAAUACUAUGUUACAAACUGGAAGGACAUUGAAGUCAUUAAGUUCUUUUAAAUGGCUACAAAA